GGGGUUGUAGUUCAGUGGUAGAGCGCUCGCCUUCCAUGUGCGAGACCCUGGGUUCGAUCCUCAACACCA
rnacentral:tRNA from 1 species